GCGCCGGCGCGCGGAAAAGCGGAGGCGGGCGCUUGGCAGUCGACUUGGAGUUGGUAGUCGGCUUGGCGGUGGCUUGGAGGACCCCGGGACAGGGUGCCGGGGCCAACUUGGGACCACUGGGAGUGCAGAGGGGCCCCAGCGCCCUAACCUCCUGGGAAGAGACGUGCGCGCCCUUGGGGCCGGCGCAUCCUCCGCCGCCCACUAGCGUUGGCUGGCCCUGGGGAGGGGGGGAGAAUGCGAGAGGCCGACACUUCGACUGAUGGCCCUGCUGCUGGUCUCGGGGAGAAGGCGGCAGAUUUCCUGUAGAAAAACUUCCCUCUCGCGUUUCACUGGACACGCGGCGACCGAAGAGUUGGGGUUCGGCUUUCUUCUGGGAUUUAAGUGUUACUUCAAACAGCUCCCUACGCGACCCUUUUCUCCUAAACUUUGACAGAAACUUUCCUUUGUCCCUACCAAUCCUCAGUGAGUUCUUUACAGGGGUCCGAGACAGGUUGUAGAUAUGAUACGGCUUAUCGGCUUUACCCCGAUCCUAGCAGAGUUAGGACUGUCGCUGAUGUGAUUGGCCAGCCACCUGCCUAACAAUGAAGGUUUAGUUAUGCUACAAGAAUGUAAAACAGGCUGUACGUUUUACCUGCUAUCUCCACAGGUUUACUGGUUUCUUAAUACAAUAUGCUUGUAUAUCAAGUUGUUACAGAGGAAACCUGGGACAGGAUGAGCUGAAAUGCCUGGUUCUUUGGCUAUCAGAAGUUAAAACAGCAAGCUAUCUUAAGAAGCACGUGAUGAGGAUGCAUCUGUGACUAUUACUGCAAAAGGUUUGAUUCCUCAACAGCCAUGUCCAAUCUGUCUGAUUAACACAAGAAAGCAUGACAAAAAGAGACUACUUUAUCCCCUGAGACACAAGAAUAUUGAAAUUAUACCAACUAAUAACACUAUAAUGGCCUCUAAAUAUUCAAGUGAAAUGAAGAGUCAGAUGUCUCUCACUUUCAAUCAAAAGCUAGAAAUGAUUAAGCUUAGUGAGGAAUGCAUGUCGCCAAGAUAGGCUGAAAGCUAGGCCUCUAGCACCAACAGUUAGCCCAGUUCUGGAUACAAAGAAAAGGUCUUGAAGGAAAUUGAAAGUGCUACUGCAUUGAACACAUAAAAGACAUGAAAGUGGAACUGCCAUAUUACUAAUAUGGCGAAAGUUUGAGUGGUCUGGAUAGAUCAACCCAGCUACAACAUUCUCUUAAGCCAAAGCCUAAUGCAUAGUAAGGCCCUAACUCUCUUCAAUUCUAUCAAGGUUGAGAGAAGUAAAGAAACUGCAGAAGAAAGGCUUGAAGCUAGCAGAGGUUGGUUCAGGGGGUUUAAAGAAAGAAGCUGUCUCUAUAACAUGAAAGUACAAGAUGAAGCAACAACGGCUGAUGUAGAAGCUGCAGCAAGUUAUUCAGAAGAUCUAGCCAAGAUCAUUGAUGAAAGUGGCUAUCUUAAACAAUAUAUUUUCAAUGUAGAUGAAACAGCUUUCUAUUGGCAGAUGUCAUCCAGGAUAUUUACAGCUAGAGAAGAGAAGACAAUGCCUGGCUUCAGAGCUUCAAAGGACAGGCUGACUCUCUCAUUAGAGGCUAAUGCAACUGGUGAGUUUAAGUUGAAACCCAUACUCAUUUGUCAUUCUGAAAAUCUCAAGGCCCUUAAGAAUUAUGCUAAAUCUACUCUGCCUGUGCUCUAGAAAUGGAACAACAAAUCCUGGGUAACAGCACAUCUGUUUACAACA